rnacentral:rRNA from 1 species
AGGGAAUAGAUACCCCGGUAGUCCUGGCAGUAAACGGUGCACGUUUGGUGUGGGGGGAUUCGACCCCUUCCGCGCCGGAGCUAAACGCGUUAAAAACGUGCCGCCUGGGAAGUACGGUCGCAAGAUUAAAACUCAAAGAAAUUGACGGGGACCCGCACAAGCGGUGGAGUAUGUGGCUUAAUUCGAUGCAAACGCGAAGAACCUUACCUGGGUUUGACAUGCACUGUGUCCCCGAUGAAAGUCGGGUAGCAUAGCAAUAUGCGCUUUGCACAGGUGCUGCAUGGCUGUCGUCAGCUCGUGUCGUGAGAUGUUGGGUUAAGUCCCGCAACGAGCGCAACCCCCGUGAUUUGUUGCCACCUGGUUUUCCAGAGCACUCGAAUCAGACUGCCUCGAUCAACGAGGAGGAAGGUGGGGACGACGUCAAGUCCGUAUGGCCCUUACACCCAGGGCUGCACACGUACUACAAUGCUCAGUACAAUGUGAACCGAUACCGCGAGGUGGAGGAAAUCCAUAAAACUGGGCUC